GUCACAUGCCCGUUCAGUCGUUCUACACAAGUAGUUGCCCUUUGCAUGAUCUGGUAUAACAGCUGCACAACUGUUCUCGGCUGAUGUACGAUAAUAUUGUCUAUAUCGUACCUGGUACACCGAAAUAGUGGGAUAUUUAACUAUUUUCUACUUUCAAGGUGUGGCAUUUAAAAAAUUGUUACUCAGUUUAUGACAUGUGGGUAUUCGUACGGCUAUGAUUUAUGGGUUCAGUAACAAAUCGUUAAAUGUCACAUCAAUGAGUGGAAAAUAGUUAAAUAUCUCUGAAAUAGCGGGGGCAGGCGCAAAGGGUGUCUACUCAAGGAGCAAAAUGCAGCUGCACCCAAAGAAAAGUGAGAACUAGUUUCUGAGAAAUCUAUAGCUAUAGCUUCUCAAUUUGAAUAAAAAGUUUUACUGAUUGGAGAAACUUUUGAUUCUAUGAGGAGGUAUAGCUGCCAAAAACUCUCUUAAAGUGCUCAUGGUACUUGCACUUUGACACCAAACGUUAAGCACACCAUACAGUUAUUUAGAUGAGUAUUUUGGUUUACUUGGCUUGCCACAUUUUUUGCUUUACCUGGCAUAGAUUCAAAGCCAAACCUCGUCUAAGGUGUGACUUGCCAUUGCGAAUUGUUUCACACUUGUUCAAAGGUUUCGAAAAAAAUGUGGCAAUAUAUGGGUGUUAUCUG
rnacentral:sRNA from 1 species